ACUAUACAGUUGAUCGUCCCUCCCUAAGCGAGCUCGACCCGGUAUUCGCUGUCCUCGGGAAUUGGACCGCUGUUAACGAGUUCCACCUUUUUAUAAUCCCAUUUCUCUCCCAAAAGAAAUAUUAAUCUAUCAUGUAACCCCAUGACGGGUUCGGGUUGUAUCCUCCGCUCGAAAGGAUGAUUCCCUUUCUUUCGCGACGCCAACCGUUGGAUCCCGCUUUACACAUUGUAAGCACUCCAAUUUUUAUCUUCCGUCUGCGGCAC
rnacentral:lncRNA from 1 species